rnacentral:lncRNA from 1 species
UCCCUGCUGUGUCCCCAAUGUCCCCAAAGCCCCAAUACCCCAAUGUCCUGCUGUCCCUCACUUGGUGACGGUGACGGGCACGCGGUGCCAGGCGUUGUUCAGGACCCCUUUCAGGUUCCAGAUGUCCCCAAUGACCCCAAUGUCCCUGCUGUGUCCCCAAUGUCCUGGUGUCCCCAAGGAUGUCCCUCACCCUCGGUGUUGGGUUGUACCUCUGAUGUCCCCAAUACCCCAAUACCCCAAUGUCCUGCUGUCCCUCACUUGGUGGCAGUGACACUGACCCGGUGCCAGGCGUUGCUGAGGACCCCGCUCAGGUUCCAGAUGUCCCCAAUGACCCCAAUGUCCCUGCUGUGUCCCCAAUACCCCAAUGUCCUGCUGUCCCCAAGGAUGUCCCUCACUUGGUGACGGUGAUGGGCACGCGGUGCCAGGCAUUGCUGAGGACCCUGUGCAGGUUCCAGAUGGGCCCCACGUUGUCAGGUUGUACCUCUGAUGUCCCCAAUGUUCCCAAAGCCCCAAUACCCCAAUGUUCUGCUGUCCCUCACUUGGUGACGGUGACGGGCACGCGG